rnacentral:rRNA from 1 species
AUUGAACGCUGGCGGCAGGCCUAACACAUGCAAGUCGAACGAGUGGCGGACGGGUGAGUAAUGUCUGGGAAACUGCCUGAUGGAGGGGGAUAACUACUGGAAACGGUAGCUAAUACCGCAUACCAUCGGAUGUGCCCAGUUGGGAUUAGCUAUGUGGGGGGGUAACGGCUCACCAAGGCGACGAUCCAUAGCUGGUCUGAGAGGAUGACCAGCCACACUGGAAAGGAGACACGGUCCAGACGCCUACGGGAGGCAGCAGUGGGGAAUAUUGCACAAUGGGCGCAAGCCUGAUGCAGCCAUGCCGCGUGUAUGAAGAAGGCCUUCGGGUUGUAAAGUACUUUCAGCGGGGAGGCGUUACUCGCAGAAGAAGCACCGGCUAACUCCGUGCCAGCAGCCGCGGUAAUUC